rnacentral:misc_RNA from 1 species
AAGCUCCAGAAGCAUAUGCUGAAGUAGAAGCAAGUUUUACAAAAUAGCUAAAGUAUUACAAAACCAGAACUAAAGACUAUUUUCUAAUACAGACUUACAGGUUAAUAUGCACUACAGGUACAAUUAUGCAAGAUUUGGUACAUAAGCAUAACACAAAUUGCAGCUUAGCCAUCCCCAUCAGGAAAAAGUAAAGAGAAACCAUCAAAACAUUCAGGAAGCCAUUACCCUUACGCAUUAGAGUUCACUUCUGAAUCAAUCUAAAAUUUAACUUGGAACCAACUCGCUGUAUCCCUUUCACAAAAUUUUCUGUCGCUACUUGAAUAAUUGUGUAAAUGACUGGCUUGUUGCUUUAUCAUAAUCUAGCGUCGGUCAACAUCUUCCCAAAUGCAUUAACAACAUUGAUAACGCUUAGAACUAAUGGGCUGGGUAUCGUAGAGGAAUCAAAUGUGCCUGUCCAUCUUCAGCUAAGUCAGCCACAGCAACAGAACUAUGAUACACAAGCAAGAGCUACAAAAUUAGGGUAUAACUUCCUCCACAUGACAAGCAUUUUGAUUAUGUCCCCCAGUUGCUUUAUCAUAAAUUGAUGCCAAGCCCCUUUUUUCUCUGAUAACUCUCGGACUUGGCGUUGCUUAUGUUAACAACUAGGGCUGAUACUGAUCCCAUGAUCCAUUCAGUGUUCACUGAUAAUGGUCCCUGGCAGACCUACACAAUAAUCCAUUCAAAGAAAAUAUUUGCAAAAAUGGAGGAAAUAGACAUUGCAAGAACAUACACUAUUAAAAUCGGAACAGAUUAGACAAAUCAAAAGAACACGGAAACAAGGAAACUAAAAAGUAGAAAAAUAAGAAAGAACAUGCCACUGCAAUACACCCUUGACCCCUUGCUUGCUUGUCAUCAAAUUAACACAGCUAUAAAGCAUGAACAUAAUGAUAGAUAUUGUGGAUGUAUAAUUAGCAAAUUGCUCGUAAGAUGUGGAAAAUGAAAGCAAUUCACUUUGAUACUAACCCCUGGCUUAUUUAUGCUUAUGCUGUGACAGAAGAUCACCUCAUUCAAUGAAAUGUUGCCAAAUAAACCAUCACACGUGCAGCUUCAAGAAGUCCUUUGUCAAGGACAUUGGUUUACAAAUGGCAACUUCAUAGCAAUGACUGGAGAGCAAAGAGCAUCCAGAUCUUCAAUAAAAGCAGCCACUGUUCAAGUUCAGCAUACAAAACAUAACUUCCACAAUAACAUUACCAAGAAGAAGAAAGUCUGAGAGCCAAACGGCAUCUUCUGAUUCCGUUGUACCUCUAAAAAUCAGCUGCAGAUUAUUCAAAUAAAGAGAAACCAGCAUUAAAGAGUCAAUAUAAUUAAUCUUAAAGCAAAGCUAGUUAUCGGCAAGGAAAAAAAAUGGGAAAAACUAGAAGAAAUUUGUGAUCAGAAAAUAGGAAAGUUGGGAUCGAAAUCUGUGGGAAAAUCGGAGAGAAAAGAGAAG